UGGGGAAUAUUGCACAAUGGGGAACCCUGAUGCAGCGACGCCGCGUGGAAGGAAGAAGUAUCUCGGUAUGUAAACUUCUAUCAGCAGGGAAGAAAAUGACGGUACCUGACUAAGAAGCCCCGGCUAACUACGUGCCAGCAGCCGCGGUAAUACGUAGGGGCAAGCGUUAUCCGGAUUUACUGGGUGUAAAGGGAGCGUAGACGGAGCAGCAAGUCUGAUGUGAAAGGCAGGGGCUCAACCCCUGACGUGCAUUGGAAACUGUUGAUCUUGAGUACCGGAGGGGUAAGCGGAAUUCCUAGUGAUAGCGGUGAAAUGGCGUAGAUAUUAGGAGGAACACCAGUGGCGAAAGGCGGCUUACUGGACGGUAACUGACGUUGAGGCUCGAAAGCGUGGGGAGCAAACAGGAUUAGAUACC
rnacentral:rRNA from 1 species